rnacentral:rRNA from 1 species
CGAGGAUAACUACUGGAAACGGUAGCUAAAACUGGAUAGGAUAUAUUAAGGCAUCUUGAUAUAUUUAAAAGUCCUUCUGGGAAUGCUUUGAGAUGGUCCUGCGGCGCAUUAGCUAGUUGGUGAGGUAGUAGCUUACCAAGGCGACGAUGCGUAGCUGAGCUGAGAGGCCAAACAGCCACACUGGGACUGAGACACGGCCCAGACUCCUACGGGAGGCAGCAGUAGGGAAUUUUCGGCAAUGGGGGAAACCCUGACCGAGCAAUGCCGCGUGAAUGAUGAAAUUCUUCGGAAUGUAAAAUUCUGUUGUGAGGGAAGAAAGGUAGUAUCAGGAAAUGGGUAUUACUUGACGGUACCUUACUAGAAAGCCCCGGCUAACUAUGUGCCAGCAGCCGCGGUAAUACAUAGGGGGCGAGCGUUAUCCGGAAUUAUUGGGCGUAAAGCGUGCGUAGGCGGCCGUUUAAGUCUGUCGUGAAAGCCCACAGCUUAACUGUGGAGGGUCGAUGGAAACUGGAUGGCUUGAAUCUAGAAGAGGUAAGUGGAAUUCCAUGUGUAGCGGUAAAAUGCUUAGAUAUAUGGAGGAACACCAGUGGCGAAGGCGGCUUACUGGUCUAGCAUUGACGCUGAGGCACGAAAGCGUAGGUAGCAAACAGGAUUAGAUACCCUGGUAGUCUACGCUGUAAACGAUGAGCACUAAGUGUCGGACGUAAGUUCGGUGCUGUAGUUAACGCAUUAAGUGCUCCGCCUGGGGAGUACGGUCGCAAGACUGAAACUCAAAGGAAUUGACGGGGACUCGCACAAGCGGUGGAGCAUGUGGUUUAAUUCGACGCAACGCGAAAAACCUUACCAGGCCUUGACAUCCCUAUGACCGCUCUAGAGAUAGAGUUUCCUCUUCGGAGGUAUAGGUGACAGGUGGUGCAUGGUUGUCGUCAGCUCGUGUCGUGAGAUGUUGGGUUAAGUCCCGCAACGAGCGCAACCCUUAUCAUUAGUUGCUAACAUUAAGUUGAGCACUCUAAUGAGACUGCCAGCGACAAGUUGGAGGAAGGUGGGGAUGACGUCAAAUCAUCAUGCCCCUUAUGUCUUGGGCUACACACGUGCUACAAUGGCCGGUACAAAGAGAAGCGAAAUUGUGAAAUGGAGCAAAUCUCAAAAAGCCG